CAAGAAGUUACAUGUCUAUUUUAUAAAUCGCCUAAAGAACAAGAUGAACUUUCUGAACAUAAGGACAAUUUUUAGGACGUUGGGGUUUUUUUUGUAUGACGGAGAAGGUGGCUCAUCUGCUUAGCAUCCAGGAGCAUGAGGACUUCAUCAGGAUGCACAUGAAAAUAUCUGGGAUAGAGGAUGCUAGAUGAAUACAGUGGCACCAGAGGAGGAAGGAGAACUGGCUGCUGGCCACCUCAGGUGAUAGACAGUGCUUCACCACCCAACCCAGUUCCUCCUUCCAUUGUGGUCAAGAACCAAUAUGCUGUAUUGGCAACAGUAGGUAAGGAGCAGACCCCAAAGGCUGAGGAGAAGGAGUUACCUGCCCCCAAGGUUAGGAAACUUAUGGCCACUGCACCCAAGAGGAAGAGGCAUGGGGUGCUGGUGAGAAGGGUCUCCAUUCUGAGAAGGAUAGAAGCAUUCAUCGGCUGACCUGACAUGAUGUCCUGAGAGACAUACUGCCUACGGAAAGAUGGCGAAGGCUCAUCUGUCCCUCUGACCACUAUCCCAGGCUGCUCAUUCAUGUGAGCAUUAAUGAUACUGCCAGUAUGACAUGAGAACAUCAGCAGUAUCUAUGGGGUUCUGGGAGAGACUGUAAGGGAGUCAGCAGCACAGAUUGUGUUCUUACCCUCAGCUAGGUGGAUGGACAAGGGCCAGGCAGGGACACGUGCAUCUUGGAGAUGAAUGUAUGGCUGUGCACGUGGUGUUGACCAGAGGUCUUCAGCUUCCUCAACUCUGGAAUUCUGCUCGAGGAAGGAGGUCUGCUGGAAAGAGAUGGGGUCCAUCCAACCAGGAAAGGAAAGAGCAUCUUUGCACACCAACUAACCAGCCUAGUGAGGAGAGCUAGGUUCAAAGGGGGCAGGUGACAAAUGGCCCCAGUUUAUUUUCUAUAGGUUAAUCUUAAAUUACGGAUUGAAUGGUGACUCUAGGAAGCAUAUGAAGCAAUGCCAGAAAGCACUGAAUGGGAUCAGUGGCU